AAGAACCUAGAAAUAUGAUAAUUGUCUAAACUUGCUUGAUGAGUUUGGAAAUAUUGUCAGCGUGUCCCUUCUGGAUAGGCAUGCAGAUUGCACUAGCUCAGUUCUCAGUAAUAUGGCUGUCGUUCUCACUACGGUUUUGUUAAGGAGAUUCGCUGAACUGAGUGUUCCACAUUUGCAUUGUCGCUGCAUCUUCUGACUCAUGAACCUGAAAGCAGUUGAAUAGUGGUGAAGAGAGUUCACUGUGUUCUCCCAUGGGUUUGGUUGAACCUGGUCCCUUUCGUGCUCUUCAGCUCCUCUUUGCACUUUAGGAUCAACUUGGAGCUUCCAGCGUCUGGAGAGUUAUUUUGCGGUGAAAGAGAACAUGGGUGCUCUAUCCGUGUGUAGAUUGCUUGGGUCUCUGCCCUGAUCGAUGGCUUCUUUUCUGUUGAAUUCCUGUCACCACUUUUCCAGAGGUGGAGAGAGGCCGCCUUCCAGGGGUCCCUGAGCGGCAAUGAGCUGCAGUCUCGCCGACUGCGCUCUGCGUUGGAAGCUGGAGGAGGAGCUGCUGGUCUUCGCUCUGUCUCUUGAACUCCUCCGGUCAGGAAGGUCCGAGGAGACUGAGGAACCCUAUGCACGUUCAUAAAUCUACAUGACCUUCUGGAGCAAGCCUCCUGCUCCGAGUAGUAAUGUCUGAGUUGAAGACCCAAGUAAGAUAACACACACAUGUUGUGUGCAAGACGAAAACCUGUUAUGUAACGAUUGCAGAAGGAGUAAGAAAGGGUUGAUAUCUUUUUGCUUUAAAAGG
rnacentral:lncRNA from 1 species